AAGUCUCACAAUAUAGGGGCUGCAUCACUCAACCCACAAUAUAUGCACCACUCAACACUGAAAACAGUGUAGAGGCCUGAGGUAGAGCCCUGGUAUAAUAAGACCUGCAGCAAACCUCAAUCAUUUUGAUAGCUUGAGCCCUCAACCCACAGUAGGAUAUAACUCUCUGAAAUGAUAGCAGGAUAAUGAGAUUAAAGCAACCUAAAAUAGCAAAUAAUUUAGAGGCUCCAUCACUCAACCCACACUCAAAGAAUCUGGGUAGCAACCUUGCAGUAUUGACACCUUUACAUGACGUUAAUCCCCAUAAAUCAAGUUUGAGCGAUGUCAUUAGGUGGCUCUUGUAAAAUAUUGGUUUGACUUUGUAAAUCAUUUUGCCCUCAACUUUUUUCUUUGAAUUUACAAUGGUAUUAAGAAUAUCAUAUGCCUACCUCAUGUUUACCAUUCUUUGUCUAAAUGUUUCAGGGGAUCUGUGUAUAAACAUAUUUAUGCUCUUAUUUCUUGUUAGUUGAGUAAAAAAUAAAUCAAAGAGCCAUGCAAAAGGAUUAUGGCAGUGCCACAGCAGUGCCCACUGGACAGCUUUGGCACCAUAGGCGCUCAAAUGAGAUUGGUAGCUUAGUUUUACCAUUUAUUUAUUGUAGCAAUCUCUUAUAGAGUGCUGAUAAAAAAAAAAUAAAAAAACAAUCUCUUGUAGAGAACUGUAGUUGUCCCUGUUGCUUGCAAAUGAUUUUUGAGGAAUGCUAGAGACCCACAAUUUACCUUAAAGACAUGGCAAGGGAGUUGGGCUUUAUAUGGUUUAGUUUGUGACAAAUGAAAAGUUGAUGUGUAACCUGCCAUGUCAUUGUGGGUAAAUAAGGGGAUGCUUUUUAGGGGUCUCAAUUGUUUUCCAUAUUUUUCAACUCUUAAAUAUUAUUAUUGGUUAAACUUAUGAAACUUGAUCAUUAGUACUCAUUGAGGAAAAACUAGCAUCUAUCUUAUUGUUGGGGCUCAAGGCCUCUUGAAAUCAUCACUAUUGUUUUUCCGAAUAAGACAUAGUUGGAAGUGGUUGUUUUUUAGGAACUUUUUAAUAGUUACCUACUACAAUAACAAAAUGGAUAAAAUCUUGAAAGGAGUGUAUGGCUUCUUCUAAAUGUCAGGUUUAAUGUUUUCUUCCUUUUUUUUUCCCUUUUGGCUGUGAGGUUACUCCUGAGGUUGGCAAAGAAAAUGGAAGCCAUUUACUUCUUAAUGAUCAAAACAAAUACAGAUCAAUGUUGACUCGCACAUAUUCAUCUAUUUGGAUGAUUGGGGGCUUUAUAUUCAUAAUCUACAUGGGCCAUCUCUAUAUUUGGGCCAUGGUCGUGGUUAUCCAAAUUUUUAUGAUAAAAGAGUUGUUCAAUCUACUCAGGAAAGGACACGAAGAAAGGGACCUCCCAGGAUUUAGGUUGUUGAAUUGGUAUGUUAAACCAGAUUCUUGUCAAUGUUCAACUGUCAACUGAAGUGUGGUGUUUAUCUAGGAGAGCUAUUCUUGGAGAAAGCUCAUUAGUUAAAUGAAUGACAACUAAUGAGCUUUUUCAAUUUAUUUAAAUUCUAAGUGAACCAAAUUUUGACACAAUUGUAUAAUUUGUAACAAACAUGUUGUAUCUUUCAACGGCCAGCUUGUCCUUCUUUGCCCUGUUUUUGGGUUUCACUAACAUCCAAAAUUUCUGUCAAUGAUCUCCAAGUGAGUUUGAUUGCUAUAUAUGACAAAUUGUUUCUGUUUGCUUUUAAUUUCAACAGGCAUUUUUUCUUCACUGCUAUGCUGUUUGUAUAUGGCCGCAUUCUCAACCAACGGCUUGCCAACACUAUUACUUCUGAGAAAUUCUUCUAUCAUCUUGUGAGCGGCUUUAUCAAGUAUUACAUGGUUACCUGCUAUUUCUUGUAUGUUGCAGUGGUGUUGAAUCAGGGUGUGCCUGGCGCAAGCUGAAUGUGCAGCGUGUCUUGGAUGAAUCGACUAAAAACCAUGUUAAAAUGCGGUCAAAGGAAGCUAAAAAGAAGCUAAGACCACGAAAGUCAGAAAUUUUUUGGAGGGAUGCAAAAUAUGGUCCAAGAAUUAAAGAACUUAGUUUUUUA